AUUGAACGCUGGCGGCAGGCCUAACACAUGCAAGUCGAGCGGAUGAAGGGAGCUUGCUCCUGGCUUCAGCGGCGGACGGGCGAGUAAUGCCUAGGAAUCUGCCUGGUAGUUGGGGAUAACGUCCGGAAACGGGCGCUAAUACCGCAUACGUCCUGAGGGAGAAAGUGGGGGAUCUUCGGACCUCACGCUAUCAGCUGAGCCUAGGUCGGAUUAGCUAGUUGGUGGGGUAAAGGCCUACCAAGGCGACGAUCCGUAACUGGUCUGAGAGGAUGAUCAGUCACACUGGAACUGAGACACGGUCCAGACUCCUACGGGAGGCAGCAGUGGGGAAUAUUGGACAAUGGGCGAAAGCCUGAUCCAGCCAUGCCGCGUGUGUGAAGAAGGUCUUCGGAUUGUAAAGCACUGUAAGUUGGGAGGAAGGGCAGUAAGUUAAUACCUUGAUGUUUUGACGUUACCAACAGAGUAAGCACCGGCUAACUUCGUG
rnacentral:rRNA from 1 species